AACGGCCAUACCAUGCUGAAUAUACCGGUUCUCGUUAGAUCACCGAAGUCAAGCAUCAUUGGGCGCGGUCAGUACUUGGGUGGGUGACCACCUGCGAAUACUGCGUACA
rnacentral:rRNA from 1 species